rnacentral:rRNA from 1 species
AUUGAACGCUGGCGGCAGGCUUAACACAUGCAAGUCGAGCGAGCGGCGGACGGGUGAGUAAUGUCUGGGAAACUGCCUGAGGGAGGGGGAUAACUAAUGGAAAAGGUAGCUAAUACCGCAUACCAUCAGAUGUGGCCAGAUGGGAUUAGCUAGGGGGGGGGGUAAUGGCUCACCAAGGCGACGAUCCCUAGCUGGUCUGCGAGGAUGACCAGCCACACUUGAACUGAGACACGGUCCAGACUCCUACGGGAGGCAUCAGUGGGGAAUAUUUCACAAUGGGCGCAAGCCUGAUGCAGCCAUGCCGCGUGUGUGAAGAAGGCCUUCGGGUUGUAAAUCACUUUCAGCGAGGAGGCGUUACUCGCAGAAGAAGCACCGGCUAACUCCGUGCCAGCAGCCGCGGUAAUUC